rnacentral:rRNA from 1 species
AGUGAACGCUGGCGGUAGGCCUAACACAUGCAAGUCGAACGGCAGCACAGUAAGAGCUUGCUCUUACGGGUGGCGAGUGGCGGACGGGUGAGGAAUACAUCGGAAUCUACUUUUUCGUGGGGGAUAACGUAGGGAAACUUACGCUAAUACCGCAUACGACCUACGGGUGAAAGCAGGGGAUCUUCGGACCUUGCGCGAUUGAAUGAGCCGAUGUCGGAUUAGCUAGUUGGCGGGGUAAAGGCCCGCCAAGGCGACGAUCCGUAGCUGGUCUGAGAGGAUGAUCAGCCACACUGGAACGGAGACACGGUCCAGACUCCUACGGGAGGCAGCAGUGGGGAAUAUUGGACAAUGGGCGCAAGCCUGAUCCAGCCAUACCGCGUGGGUGAAGAAGGCCUUCGGGUUGUAAAGCCCUUUUGUUGGGAAAGAAAAGCAGCAGGUUAAUACCCCGCUGUUCUGACGGUACCCAAAGAAUAAGCACCGGCUAACUUCGUG